AGUACAGAAAGUGUUAACUCAGCAGAGAGCCGCACUGGGAAGCUACAGGGACCCUCGUGGUUCUAGAGCCCCCACGCGGAAACAUCUCACUUCUUGGCACAGAGGUGAUGGACUCAUGAUGAGAUGGGGAGAACUUGUGGACAAGGGGCUGCCUGCUGCCAGUUACACAUUCUCUCUGUCCUCUAACUCCUGGAAGCAAAGUCCACGCCAAGAGCUUGUGUGCCCUAAACCAGCACUGGACCCGUGCCCUUACUGGGCAUCUCCUGCUUGUACAAAAUUCACUUCCCUGAGGCCCUCGGUGUUAACAAUCUGCUGCCUCUAAAAGGGAGGUUAGGUCUCACAAGAGAAUAUUCCUCCGCUGGAGUAAGGAUGGAGUCCGCCUGGGCAAAUACACCUCAACCACUGGCUCAGUGCUGCUGCAAGCACCAAGUACUCCCACCAAUGGCAAUGAAAAAGGUGUCAGGUAGACUGCACACCCAAGGCUGGAGCUACCGGGGGUUCCUCUC